rnacentral:rRNA from 1 species
AGUGAACGCUGGCGGUAGGCCUAACACAUGCAAGUCGAACGGCAGCACAGUAAGAGCUUGCUCUUACGGGUGGCGCGUGGCGGACGGGUGAGGUAUACAUCGGAAUCUACUUUUUCGUGGGGGAUAACGUAGGGAAACUUACGCUAAUACCGCAUACGACCUACGGGUGAAAGCAGGGGAUCUUCGGACCUUGCGCGAUUGAAUGAGCCGAUGUCGGCUUAGCUAGUUGGUGGGGUAAAGGCCCACCAAGGCGACGAUCCGUAGCUGGUCUGAGAGGAUGAUCAGCCACACGGGAGCUGAGACACAGUCCAGACUCCUACGGGAGGCAGCAGUGGGGAAUAUUGGGCAAGGGGCGCAAGCCUGAUCCAGCCAUACCGCGGGGGUGAAGAAGGCCUUCGGGUUGUAAAGCCCUUUUGUUGGGAGAGAAAAGCAGCAGGUUAAUACCCCGCGGUUCUGACGGUACCCAAAGAAUAAGCACCGGCUAACUUCGUG